rnacentral:rRNA from 2 species
CCGCAAUGGACGAAAGUCUGACGGAGCAACGCCGCGUGAGUGAUGAAGGCUUUCGGGUCGUAAAACUCUGUUGUUAGGGAAGAACAAGUGCUAGUUGAAUAAGCUGGCACCUUGACGGUACCUAACCAGAAAGCCACGGCUAACUACGUGCCAGCAGCCGCGGUAAUACGUAGGUGGCAAGCGUUAUCCGGAAUUAUUGGGCGUAAAGCGCGCGCAGGUGGUUUCUUAAGUCUGAUGUGAAAGCCCACGGCUCAACCGUGGAGGGUCAUUGGAAACUGGGAGACUUGAGUGCAGAAGAGGGAAAGUGGGAAUUCCAUGUGUAGCGGUGAAAUGCGUAGAGAUAUGGAAGGAACACCAGUGGCGAAAGGCGACCUUUCUGGUCUGUAACUGACACUGAGGCGCGAAAGCGUGGGGAGCAAACACGAGUAGAUACCCUGGGUAGUCCACGCGUAAACGAUGAGUGCUAAGUAGUUAAAGGGUUCCGCCCUUUAGUGCUGAAGUCAACGCAUAAGCACUCCCCCUGGGGAGUACGGCGCAGGCUGAAACUCAAAGGAAAUGAACGGCGGGCCGCCCUAUCGUCGAGCAAUGUGGUUG